rnacentral:lncRNA from 1 species
AGCACUCUCUUUUUGUUGCACAAAAGGAGUCCUUCACAAGGUGGCCGGUGGGUGGUUUGAAUAGGAUAGGGAUUAGGGUUUUGAAUUCAAACCUUUUUGAAUUCAAAUUAAAACCACCUCUUCUUUAUCCAUGGUGGGUGACACCAAGGGCCUCUUGCUGGAGUUUUUCUCAUGUACAAACUCAUUUUGUGCAAUGAGAAGUGGCAUGG